rnacentral:rRNA from 1 species
UACCAGCACCCCGAGUGGUCGGGACGUUUUAUUGGGCCUAAAGCAUCCGUAGCCGGUUCUACAAGUCUUCCGUUAAAUCCAUCUGCUUAACAGAUGGGCUGCGGAAGAUACUAUAGAGCUAGGAGGCGGGAGAGGCAAGCGGUACUCGAUGGGUAGGGGUAAAAUCCGUUGAUCCAUUGAAGACCACCAGUGGCGAAGGCGGCUUGCCAGAACGCGCUCGACGGUGAGGGAUGAAAGCUGGGGGAGCAAACCGGG